UACGAGAGCCCCAAGCGUUAUCCGAAAUUACUGGGCGUAAAGGGUGCGUAGGCGGCUGUGUUAGUCCUGUGUCAAAUAUCCCGGCUUAACCGGGAAAAGGCAUACGAUACGGCACAGCUAGAGGAUGUAAGAGGUGUGCGGAACUCAUGGUGUAGGGGUGAAAUCCGUUGAUAUCAUGGGGAACACCUAAUGCGAAAGCAGCACACUGGUACAUUCCUGACGCUGAGUGCACGAAAGCGUGGGUAGCGAAUGGG
rnacentral:misc_RNA from 1 species